rnacentral:rRNA from 1 species
AUUAAACGCUGGCGGCAUGCCUUACACAUGCAAGUCGAACGGCAGCACGGGGGCAACCCUGGUGGCGAGUGGCGGACGGGUGAGUAAAGCAUCGGAACGUAUCCUGGAGUGGGGGAUAACGUAGCGAAAGUUACGCUAAUACCGCAUAUUCUGUGAGCAGGAAAGCAGGGGAUCGCAAGACCUUUGCGCUCUGGGAGCGGCCGAUGUCGGAUUAGCUAGUUGGUGGGGUAAAGGCCUACCAAGGCGACGAUCCGUAGCGGGUCUGAGAGGAUGAUCCGCCACACUGGGACUGAGACACGGCCCAGACUCCUACGGGAGGCAGCAGUGGGGAAUUUUGGACAAUGGGCGCAAGCCUGAUCCAGCCAUGCCGCGUGAGUGAAGAAGGCCUUCGGA